rnacentral:rRNA from 1 species
GGGUAGGCGUAGGCGGCUGAUUAAGUCAGCGGUGAAAGGUAGCAGCUUAACUGUUUUACAUGCCGUUGAUACUGGUUAGCUUGAGUUGACAGAAGGCAGAUAGAAUUCCUGGUGUAGCGGUGAAAUGCUUAGAUACCAGGAGGAAUACCGAUUGCGAAGGCAGUCUGCUGCAGUCACACUGACGCUGAGGCUCGAAGGUGCGGGGAUCAAACAGGAUUAGAUACCCGAGU